rnacentral:lncRNA from 1 species
GAGACGAGAGUUACUCAUCCUUUUCUUUUUCAGUAACACCUUGGUAAAAUAAAUAAAAUAAAAUUGAGUAUGUAUUUAAGUUUAUAAGUAAUAAAACUCAGUAUACAUACGGAACCCCAACGCCAUGGGCGGAUCUACAUUACGCAGCAUGGGGGCAGUUGCCCCCAGUAAAAUCUCUAAUUAAAUUUAAAUAGGCUAGGAGAACAAUGUGUUUUGCUGCCUUAUUGGUUAUAACAUUUUUUCUGCCCCCACUAGACCAACGUUCGAACCCAUCUGCAACCUUAAAUACCCGUGUUAUUUUUAUCUUUUUUUUGUAACAUGGCUUUCUUAUAAAAUGCAAAAGGAAAUAAAAUGUUUACAAGCUUAGAGCUUUAGAUAGACGGGCCUAGCCCAAUACGAAUAACAAAAGGAAAACCAUAAUUAAGAACCCAAUUGACUCACUUAGCCAAUAAAAUAGUAAUGAACGGUAGUUGAUCCCGGCGGACUUUUACGAAGUCGACAGCCACAACUGCAUCAGAGAUGAGGAGAGGCGAGGGUUGGAAGGUCUGAUAGAAGAGAUCUUGUUUCGAAUUAGGAGAUCAAGCUGUCUGAUCAGGGAGUCUUUCGAUCUGAAAGUUUGUCUAUGCAGUCGUGCGUUCCUCUCAGUCCAAAUCAAAUAGAUCGUUGCCUGCCAGGACCAAAGGCAUAGUUGGGUAGCUUUGCUCCUCUUUGGGAGAGUCUGCAUGCGAAGUAGUGUUGUAUGCCAGUCAUAGACAGCAGUCAUCGAGCAUCUAGAAGCGAUUGCCGUCCAGACUCCAAAACUGAAAGGACAAUCGAAUAGCAAGUGGUCUCUGGAUUCAUUCGCUGAGUUACAGAGAAGGCAAUUAGUAGGUGUUUGCAAUCCCCAGCUCUGUAGCCUAUCACGGGUGGGACAUCUGUUCAAGACAAAAAGCCAAGCAAGAAAAGAGUGUCGUGGGAUGCCUCUUUUAAUCCAAACUGCAGUAUACCAAGGGACAGUAGAGUAAGAACCCCUAAUCUCUUUGUACACUUCCGAAGUUGAGUAACGGAGAGUAGCAUUGUUACUAACACUCCACUCAUAGUAAUCAUCUUGAUCAAGCAGUUCAAUUGUAGUUAAGUAGGUUGCCACAUUUACUUGAUUUUCUGAUCUCGCAGGGGGCAGUGCCCAUGAGCCGUUGAUAUGGCGUGAUGCAAGCGAUGCUUUCCAGGGGAUGCCAAGAUGCGAGUGCUUAGUUGCUGAGAGGUAGUCAGUCAAGUUCCCAAAAGGAGACCAGUUGUCGGACCAGAAACGAGUUCUUGCCCCAUUCCCUACUCGAAGCUGAAUCCACGGGUAGAUUGUUUCCCUAAGUUUCAACAGUUUCCUAGCCAUCCAAGACAUCUUUCCUUUAUUUUUCUGGUUUCUUUUUCUUGACCACGUGUUUCAUUAUUUUUUUUCAUGUUCUUUUUUCCUUGUUCCUAUGUUGGUUUCAUUCAAAACUUUUGUUUUUAUAUAUUUUGAGUUCAAGUACUUUUUUCAUAUCAUUUUGUUAGUAUAUUCACUCUUUUUCUUCACUUAUUUUUUAGUUAUAUUAUUUCACAAAUUUAUUUUUCUUCUAAAUGUUAUUCUUAUUGAAAAAUAUUAAAACACAUUUAAGGAAUAUUAUUGAAUAAUCAAUUAAUUAAUUAUGCCCCACUCAAUAUAUUUUCUAGAUCCGCUACUGCUCAACGCUCGCGACCGAAGACCAUUUACGGUACCCACAUAGUGAUCAAUA